GAGUUUAGUGGCGAACGGGUGAGUAACGCGUGAGGAACCUGCCUUUCAGUGGGGGACAACAGUUGGAAACGACUGCUAAUACCGCAUAAUACUUUCGAGCGGCAUCGUUUGAAAGUCAAAGAUUUAUUGCUGAAAGAUGGCCUCGCGUCUGAUUAGCUAGUUGGUGGGGUAACGGCCCACCAAGGCGACGAUCAGUAGCCGGUCUGAGAGGAUGAACGGCCACAUUGGGACUGAGAUACGGCCCAGACUCC
rnacentral:rRNA from 1 species